CCCAGUUAACCAGGGGGAUAUCAUAUACAAACCACAGGGGUUGACUACAGGGUAGUGUGUAGGCUUUUUUUCCAGCCCAACUCUAACACACAUGAUUCAAUUAAAUCAACUAAUGAUGGUCGUCAACUGAAACAUUCUGCUUUGGGGCAACAGGACAUUUUGGAAUCAGCAGCAGUCAUGAAGGACAAAGGAAGGCAUUUUACACAAGUCUGAACUCUGCCAAUACUUACUACUUACUACACUAUCAUUUAAACCAGCCUACUCUUUGAGUAAGGUAAGGAAAUAAAACAAAAAUGUUUUAGCAACCUGGAAUCUCUACUCAAGGUUUCUUAGCACAAGAUGGCUGAGACGUGACUAAAGAAUGUAUGAAUAAAUCCCAAUUUUGUGACUCAAAUGUUGAAAUCCAAGACUUUACAGUAUGUCAACACAAUACUUACUUCCUGUUCUAAUGAAGAUAUAAAGGUGUCCACAUAUUUUGGGUGGCCACAGAGAGUGGUAGAAGACUCGGGGGGUAAUACUAUGGAAUUCUAUUUGAAGACUUUCUACACUGUGUUGGUACUGACACUGACAGGAGGCCUUGAUCCUACCAGUGUCUCAGCAGCAUCUCCUAAUCCUAGCUCAGUGUCCGUGAGGCCCAGCCCACAGCUCUCUCUCCCCAUUCUCAACCAGUCCUUCAGCCUGGACUGUAGCGGCUCCUUCCCAGGCCUGCCAGUGCUUUGGUACAAAGACGGCCAGGUUGUAGCUCCAGACGCCAGGAUAAACCUGUUGGAACACAACACCUCCCUCCACUUCAACUCCCUGCUGCCCUCUGAUGGUGGCUUCUAUCAGUGCGAGGUGACCAUGGCAAACAUGGCUGAAAGCAAGGUCAUAAGCUUGGGCUACCUGCUAAACUUUGAUCAUUGGAGUGUUAGUAUCAGUGGCCCUGACACAGUGUUGCCUGGGAGGGAAUACACCUUUACCUGCCAGGUGAACUGCACUGUCGACCUGGACUGCUCCAUCCGCUGGCCAUUGAGGGGGGGUAUCCUUACUAGCGCCUACCUCUCUGUGAGGAAGAAUAUCCUGAAAUGGAUCCCGUCGGUACCUGGUACGGUACAGAACUUCACCUGUGUGGUGGAGAACACAGCAGCUGGACGCUCUGCAGAGGCCUCCAAGACAGUGAAGGUCACAGAUCGUAAAGAAAUGACUCUCUAG
rnacentral:lncRNA from 1 species